AUUUCAUUUUAAUCAAAAGAAAGCUGAGAGGAAUGUGAAAGAAAGCCGACGCUACAUUAUACACGAUUUUUGCAUCUUUUUAAAAAUGGCGACUUCGGUGGGGAAUGUUAUUCGCGCUUCAAUAAUUCAAAAACUCACGGAAGCGUUAAAGCCAUCACACUUAGAUGUUAUUAAUGAAAGCUUCAUGCAUAAUGUUCCAAAAGGCGCUGAAACUCAUUUUAAAGUUGUUGUGGUAUCUAAGGAAUUUGAUGGAAAGCCCUUAAUUCAGAGGCAUCGUCUUAUUAAUGAUUUGCUUAAACAAGAACUUUUAGCUGGAGUUCAUGCUUUGUCAAUUCAGGCAAAAACACCUGAACAAUGGGCACAAAACUGCAAUGUAUCGCUAUCCCCUCCUUGUUUAGGUGGAAGUAAAAAAUAAAAGAAUCUUCAAAUUUGAUAAAGGUUUACGUCAGUUUUUUUUGUUUAUUUGGAAUUUAUGGAGUAGUUUUUUCAUAUUCAUAUAAUAUCUUGUGGAAUAAAGAGAUUUAGUAUUUAAAAUAUCUUUUAGAAAGAAUAGAUUUAGUAACAAAAAAGAAAAUAUAGAGGUUGUAAAUUUUUUUUUUUUUAUUGUGUCUAUUUGUUUUUUAUGUAUUUUUUUAUGGCAUUUCAUUUUUUUUAAUGGCGAACCUAUAACUGCGUCUGAUAAGUCUUUUGAUAGCUUAGUGAAAGUCUUUUGAUAGAUUAGUCGAAGUCUUUAACGGUAUUUUUAUAUAUCCAUCGCAUUAAGCUCUCUCAUUAAUAUUGUUAACGACCUUACAAUAUGAAUUUUUUAAACAGUAAAUUUUCAAAUUAACGAUAAAUUUUUUUUUUAAUAUUUGUUAAGUAAAUGUAUAUUUAGUAUAAAUAUAUAUGUGUGUCACAGACUGCUACGUUUAAUAUGUCAUAUUUUAUAGCUUUUUCUAGUUAGUUGAUUUUUUAAGUAUUUCUAAUAGGUUGAUUUUUUAAGUACACAAAAAAAGAUUUUUCUAAGAGUACGUAAAUUCUAGUUAAAGCUCAAAAUUCAUGAUGAAUGAAUGCUUAAAAUUUAUUCAUGAUGAAUGAAUGCUCAAUAAAGUAUAGUUUAUUAACUUAUAAAUUUAUGAUAUAAACUGUAUGGGGUCUUCCAUAAACUACGUACGCAUGUAAUGUGAGAGGGAGAACUAUCAAUAAACGUAAGAAUGCGUACAAAGGGGAGAGGGUGUUAAUGACAGAGUACGUAAGCAGUUUGACUCUUGUUCUCAAUCUCUCCUAAAACUUCGUUCUUUUUUUAACACAAGCGUUAUGUAACAAAGAAAUGUCCUAUUAACUAAAAGUUUUAUUGUUUUUAAUGUUUUGGAAAAAUGUUAGCGUAUAGAAAGGAGGUUAUUAGUAAUAAUUACUGCGUACGUAUGCAGAUGGAGAGGGACCGUAGAAAGACAACGUUUCGUUCGAUUCUGUCAAGGAGGGAGGGGAUCUUAAAUCUGUAGUUUUACUGCAAAGAGAUGAAAAAUCAAUGAUCAAACCAUUUGCUAAAGGCUUUAUUAAAUAAGCAAUAUUUUAAGGAUAUUUCCACUGAAAAGAAACAGUCUAACUUGCUCAAAUUUGUUAGCUGAACAUCACGUUCACAAAGAGGCAAUCGAACUUGUUUGCCAUUGGAUUUGGAGUUGAAGAUAAAAUUUUUUAUAUUGUUCACUUUUAUCUAUUGUAACUAUCAAUUCAUUGACAUUUUUUUAAUCUUAGCUACGCGUUUACUAUGAGUAAUUUAAUAAAUUUUAGCGGUAUUAUAAA